CCUACGGGUGGCUGCAGUAGGGAAUAUUGCUCAAUGGGGGAAACCCUGAAGCAGCAACGCCGCGUGGAGGAUGAAGGUUUUCGGAUUGUUAACUCCUUUUUUUAGAGAAGAUAAUGACGGUAUCUAACGAAUAAGCACCGGCUAACUCCGUGACCGCAGCCGCGGUAAUACGGAGGGUGCCAGCGUUACUCGGAAUCACUGGGCGUAAAGAGCGCGUAGGCGGGUUAGAAAGUCAGAUGUGAAAUCCUAUGGCUUAACCAUAGAACUGCAUUUGAAACUGGUAGUCUAGAGUAUGGGUGAGGUAGGUGGAAUUCGUGGUGUAGGGGUAAAAUCCGUAGAGAUCAAGAAGAAUUCUCAUUGCGAAGGCGACCUGCUAGAACAUAACUGACGCUGAUGCGCGAAAGCGUGGGGAGCAAACAGGAUUAGAUACCCCUGUAGUC
rnacentral:rRNA from 1 species